UACAGGAUGCAGUUGAUAAACUUUGAGCUACAGGUCACACAACAACAUAGAAUAACACGAGUCGCAUAAAUUUUGCCAUAUAUAUUGUUUGGUGGACAUUGAGCAUCACAGCUCACUAAGCAAGCAAUAUAAUUGUAAAUUUACUGUAAUACCCUUUGUAAUGUAUUCUGGUACACACACAUAUAUAUCAUAAUAUGAAAGAGUGUAGUAAUUAAGUAGGAAAUAAAAUGGGUAUUUUUGUAAGUUACAUAAUUUGUUUUUGGGACGAAAGGUCGUGCUUUAGUUUUUAAUGCAAGAAGAUUUUGGAUUUGUGUUGUCCCUCGAUCGUUAUUUGGUUCUGAUGUAUGAUUUUUUUUUUUUAAAUCAAA
rnacentral:lncRNA from 1 species